GCAGAAGAGAAGUUCGCAGAGAGUUUGGGAGUCAAAUGAAGAAGAUGAAGGAACAGUGGAAAGGCGCGCCAAUUUGAAUGAAAGAAGCGCUAGCGACGCACAGCGCUGGCCGUUGAUGGGGCCACGUGUCGCGAGAUUAAGAAAGGAAGUCCAAACGUUAAAGAAGCAACACGUGAGGUGGCACGUGAGGCGGCCCCACUUACCACGUGGACUGAGGGCACGACCACUUAGUCUCUUCGCUGAGAACGAGUUCUCGACUCGAGACUGGGGGGCUUGUGAUCCGAUCGGUCAUC
rnacentral:lncRNA from 1 species